rnacentral:snRNA from 1 species
GUGCUCACUUUGACAGCACAUAUACUAAAAGUGGAAUGAUACAGGAAAGAGUAGGAUCACUUCUGUGCAAAAACAAUAUGCAAAUUUGUGAUGUUCCCUUUCUUU